CGCGGCCGAGGGGCAGCAACGAGCUCAGUGCGGGGGGAUGCAGGCUAGGCCCGGCGGAGGCCGGAGACGCUGCCCCGGGGAAGCUGCGGCGGGCGCGGAGACUGGGCUGGAGGCGGCGGGGACCGGCCGCGCACAAGGAAAGGAAUGUUUCUUUCAAAGCUACAACUCUGAGGCUUGGAAUCUCAAAAUGACACAUGGGUCUGAUUUGGAAAAGGGAAUGGGAUGAAAUGCCUUUGCUGAUUCUCCAGGUCCUUUUUCUGUUUCUCUGAAUGAAAUACAAACUCAGCAGAACCUCAGUGUUUAACGUUGUAUCUCUCAAAGCCCUUUCCAAUAAACAGAAAUAAGAGUGAUAGACAGGAAAAUAGAGGAACAGUGAGUUGAAAGAGUCUAUUUUAAUACAAUUAUUUAGAAAAACUCUUUAAGUCCUUGUCAGAUGUAUGUCUCUUGCAGGUGGUUCUUUUAUUUAGAGAAAUCUGAUUUUAAAGGAACAGGUCAAGACCUAGUGCAGUAGUACUCCCUCAUGAUGUUACAGUGCAACCAUAAUUUUGCUCAGAAACAAGAAGAAAUAGUGAACAAUCCACGUUGGUUAUGUAUGUGUAUAUAAACAUUUGUCAUAGCUUAUGAGCAGCAAUGCAAAAUAUUUUUAAAUAUAUAAUUCCACAGGACAGAGACUUAAAUGUUUUUCUGAGAUGUGGAGGAAGUUCUAGUUACUGGUUUUGAUGGUUAUCAAAUCUCCCAAGAAAAAAGUGAUAAAUCACAAUUGGUUUGCUCCUAGCCUCAGGCAGUGGGAGACAAAGAGAUCUUCUGUUCUGGGGUUUUUUUGAAAGAAAGAGUAGUGUUUUAUAAUCACAGAUUCAUUUAAGUUGGGAAAAACCUUUAGGAUGAUCAAGUCUAACCACAAACCUAACACUGCCAAAUCCACCUCUAAAUUUUAACUUAUGCUGGACUUCAACUCAAAUGGAUGCUACACAGCAGUA